rnacentral:lncRNA from 8 species
AUGCACAAUGUAGCACAAUAUUCUGUUAGGCCUCUGUUAGCUUACUGUAUGUCCCUAGCACAAUAUUCUGUUAGGCCUCUGUUAGCUUACUGUAUGUCCCUAGCACAAUAUUCUGUUAGGCCUCUGUUAGCUUACUGUAUGUCCCUAACACAAUAUCCUGUUAGGCCUCUGUUAGCUUACUGUAUGUCCCUAGCACAAUAUUAUGUUAGGCCUCUAUUAGCUUACUGUAUGUCCCUAACACAAUAUUAUGUUAGGCCUCUGUUAGCUUACUGUAUGUCCCUAACACAAUAUUCUGUUAGGCCUCUGUUAGCUUACUGUAUGUCCCUAGCACAAUAUUCUGUUAGGCCUCUGUUAGCUUACUGUAUGUCCCUAAGACAAUAUCCUGUUAGGCCUCUGUUAGCUUACUGUAUGUCCCUAGCACAAUAUCCUGUUAGGCCUCUGUUAGCUUACUGUAUGUCCCUAGCACAAUAUUAUGUUAGGCCUCUAUUAGCUUACUGUAUGUCCCUAACACAAUAUUAUGUUAGGCCUCUAUUAGCUUACUGUAUGUCCCUAACACAAUAUUAUGUUAGGCCUCUAUUAGCUUACUGUAUGUCCCUAGCACAAUAUUAUGUUAGGCCUCUAUUAGCUUACUGUAUGUCCCUAACACAAUAUUAUGUUAGGCCUCUGUUAGCUUACUGUAUGUCCCUAACACAAUAUUAUGUUAGGCCUCUAUUAGCUUACUGUAUGUCCCUAGCACAAUAUUAUGUUAGGCCUCUAUUAGCUUACUGUAUGUCCCUAACACAAUAUUAUGUUAGGCCUCUAUUAGCUUACUGUAUGUCCCUAGCACAAUAUUAUGUUAGGCCUCUAUUAGCUUACUGUAUGUCCCUAACACAAUAUUAUGUUAGGCCUCUGUUAGCUUACUGUAUGUCCCCAGCACAAUAUUAUGUUAGGCCUCUAUUAGCUUACUGUAUGUCCCUAACACAAUAUUAUGUUAGGCCUCUGUUAGCUUACUGUAUGUCCCUAGCACAAUAUUAUGUUAGGCCUCUAUUAGCUUACUGUAUGUCCCUAGCACAAUAUUCUGUUAGGCCUCUGUUAGCUUACUGUAUGUCCCUAGCACAAUAUUCUGUUAGGCCUCUGUUAGCUUACUGUAUGUCCCUAGCACAAUAUUAUGUUAGGCCUCUAUUAGCUUACUGUAUGUCCCUAGGACAAUAUUCUGUUAGGCCUCUGUUAGCUUACUGUAUGUCCCUAGCACAAUAUCCUGUUAGGCCUCUGUUAGGUUACUGUAUGUCCCUAGGACAAUAUUCUGUUAGGCCUCUGUUAGCUUACUGUAUGUCCCUAGCACAAUAUUCUGUUAGGCCUCUAUUAGCUUACUGUAUGUCCCUAGCACAAUAUCCUGUUAGGCCUCUGUUAGCUUACUGUAUGUCCCUAGCACAAUAUCCUGUUAGGCCUCUGUUAGCUUACUGUAUGUCCCUAGCACAAUAUUAUGUUAGGCCUCUGUUAGCUUACUGUAUGUCCCUAGCACAAUAUUCUGUUAGGCCUCUGUUAGCUUACUGUAUGUCCCUAGCACAAUAUUCUGUUAGGCCUCUGUUAGCUUACUGUAUGUCCCUAGCACAAUAUUAUGUUAGGCCUCUGUUAGCUUACUGUAUGUCCCUAGCACAAUAUCCUGUUAGGCCUCUGUUAGCUUACUGUAUGUCCCUAGCACAAUAUUAUGUUAGGCCUCUAUUAGCUUACUGUAUCUCCCUAGCACAAUAUUCUGUUAGGCCUCUGUUAGCUUACUGUAUGUCCCUAGGACAAUAUCCUGUUAGGCCUCUGUUAGCCUACUCAACAAGCAUCACAGACGAAUAUACAUAA